rnacentral:sRNA from 1 species
UUGACAUCCCUGGGAGCCCUGAAAUCUCCAUUCCCAGAACAGGUACAGCACAGGCAACAGGAGAAUAAGCUUCCCCACACUGGCCUGCCAAGACACCUCAACCUUGGAGGGACCAACUCCAGGAGUGAGGAAGUAGUUCAGCCUCCCCACUAAAACAUUUUGAAAUUUCA